rnacentral:antisense_RNA from 1 species
CUAGGUUAUUGUUUUCCCGCAGGCAAGUGGUAGCAGAUGUCAAGGGUUAAGGACAAUUUAGGAGGUUAAGAGUUUCCAGGCUGCACUUGUGUCGGGUGCCUCGGGCGAUGAGCCCAGGAGCCCGCUCUCCACGCAGUGACGCUUCCCAAGCUGGUGCUUUAGGCCCCUCACUUGCCUGGCUGCUCUAAGGCCCCGUCCCUGAUGGCUUCUGACAAUUUGGUGUCCUUUGUAAAGACGACCUCAGAUCCUAUCAGCUUCAGUUUCACAAAACCUGGAUCCCCUGCCUCUGUGGUAUGUCUGGACUGCCCUGGGCAGGCAGGGCCUGGCUCUGAGAUGAAGAUUUCUCAGCACUGAAGGACCGCCUGCCUUUGAGCUGUGAAACUAGUCUGUCCUCACAUAGACACCAGUAAACUGAGGCUUGAGAGGCUCAAGGACA